rnacentral:rRNA from 1 species
CAGUAGCCGCGGGAAUACGUAGGUGGCAAGCGUUGUCCGGAAUUAUUGGGCGUAAAGCGCGCGCAGGUGGUUUAAUAAGUCUGAUGUGAAAGCCCACGGCUCAACCGUGGAGGGUCAUUGGAAACUGUUAAACUUGAGUGCAGGAGAGAAAAGUGGAACUCCUAGUGUAGCGGUGAAAUGCGUAGAGAUUAGGAGGAACACCAGUGGCGAAGGCGGCUUUUUGGCCUGUAACUGACACUGAGGCGCGAAAGCGUGGGGAGCAAACAGGAUUAGAUACCCGCGUAGUCCCUGUCUCUUAUAC